rnacentral:rRNA from 1 species
GACGAACGCUGGCGGCGUGCUUAACACAUGCAAGUCGAACGGAAAGGCCCUGCUUGCCGGGUACUCGAGUGGCGAACGGGUGAGUAACACGUGGGUGAUCUGCCCUGCACUUCGGGAUAAGCCUGGGAAACUGGGUCUAAUACCGGAUAGGAGCCAUUUUUAGUGUGAUGGUUGGAAAGUUUUUUCGGUGUAGGAUGAGCUCGCGGCCUAUCAGCUUGUUGGUGGGGUAAUGGCCUACCAAGGCGGCGACGGGUAGCCGGCCUGAGAGGGUGGACGGCCACCUUGGGACUGAGAUACGGCCCAGACUCCUACGGGAGGCAGCAGUGGGGAAUAUUGCACAAUGGGCGCCAGCCUGAUGCAGCGACGCCGCGUGGGGGAUGACGGCCUUCGGGUUGUAAACUCCUUUCGCUAGGGACGAAGCUUUUUGUGACGGUACCUAGAUAAGAAGCACCGGCUAACUACGUG